CGUAUGGCGACUUGGAUGAUGGGUAUACUACUACUGCCAAAUCAGUGAGUUGGGUAAAGAAAUUGAGAAGGAAUUGGGGUAAGAGAAGAAGAAGAGAAGGGAUUGAGAUGUAGAGAAGGUAAGAGUGGGGUUAGGGAUAGAGAUGAGGCUGAGGUGAGAAGAGAUGAGGGAAUUGGGGAAGAAGUUUACUAUUUCAUUAAUGCUUAAUAUCUCUAUUACAAUUCUAUUUAUACUCCCCCCAUUACAUGCCAAAGUGCAAUUACAAGAAAGUAAAGGAUUAAACU
rnacentral:lncRNA from 1 species